rnacentral:rRNA from 1 species
CCUACGGGAGGCAGCAGUAGGGAAUCUUCCACAAUGGGCGAAAGCCUGAUGGAGCAACGCCGCGUGGGGGAAGAAGGUCUUCGGAUCGGAAAACUCUGUUGUUAGAGAAGAAAGUGCGGGAGAGUAACGGUUCACGUUUCGACGGUAUCUAACCAGAAAGCCAAGGCUAACGACGUGCCAGCAGCCGCGGUAAUACGUAGGUGGCAAGCGUUAUCCGGAUUUGUUGGGCGUAAAGGGAACGCAGGCGGUCCUUUAAGUCUGAUGUGAAAGCCUUCGGCUUAACCGGAGUAGUGCAUUGGAAACUGGGAGACUUGAGUGCAGAAGAGGAGAGUGGAACUCCAUGUGUAGCGGUGAAAUGCGUAGAUAUAUGGAAGAACACCAGUGGCGAAAGCGGCUCUCUGGUCUGUAACUGACGCUGAGGUUCGAAAGCGUGGGUAGCAAACAGGAUUAGAUACCCCGGUAGUC